CAUCUUGAUGAGUUAGUGACCUCACAACAUAACCAAUAGCACAAACAUUAAUCUCUAAUCCAGCAUAUCUGAUAUCAACUCCAGCUCUGAAUAUAGUGAAGUCACAUUAUAUUCGCUAGAUUCAGAGUUCGAGUUGGUAUCAAAUACUUAUAGGAAGAUCUUGUCUCUCGGAUUGCGAAAGGGAGCCCCUGUUUUGUCAACAAAUAGAAACCUAAGGUG
rnacentral:pre_miRNA from 1 species